rnacentral:rRNA from 1 species
AGUCGAGGGGUAUAUGUCUUCGGAUAUAGAGACCGGCGCACGGGUGCGUAACGCGUAUGCAAUCUACCUUUUACAGAGGGAUAGCCCAGAGAAAUUUGGAUUAAUACCUCAUAGUAUUAUUGAGUGGCAUCACUUAAUAAUUAAAGUCACAACGGUAAAAGAUGAGCAUGCGUCCCAUUAGCUAGUUGGUAAGGUAACGGCUUACCAAGGCAACGAUGGGUAGGGGUCCUGAGAGGGAGAUCCCCCACACUGGUACUGAGACACGGACCAGACUCCUACGGGAGGCAGCAGUGAGGAAUAUUGGACAAUGGGCGCAAGCCUGAUCCAGCCAUGCCGCGUGCAGGAUGACGGUCCUAUGGAUUGUAAACUGCUUUUGUACGAGAAGAAACACUGCUUCGUGAAGCAGCUUGACGGUAUCGUAAGAAUAAGGAUCGGCUAACUCCGUGCCAGCAGCCGCGGUAAUACGGAGGAUCCAAGCGUUAUCCGGAAUCAUUGGGUUUAAAGGGUCCGUAGGCGGUUUAGUAAGUCAGUGGUGAAAGCCCAUCGCUCAACGGUGGAACGGCCAUUGAUACUGCUGAACUUGAAUUAUUAGGAAGUAACUAGAAUAUGUAGUGUAGCGGUGAAAUGCUUAGAGAUUACAUGGGAAUACCAAUUGCGAAAGGCAGGUUACUACUAAUUGAUUGACGCUGAUGG